rnacentral:rRNA from 1 species
UACGAAGGGGGGCUAGCGUUGUUCGGAAUUACUGGGCGUAAAAGCGUGCGCAGGCGGCUUUCCAAGUCAGUGGUGAAAGCCCGGAGCUCAACUCCGGAAAUGCCAUUGAAACUGUGAAGCUUAGAACGAGAGAGGUGAGUGGAAUUCCCAGUGUAGAGGUGAAAUUCGUAGAUAUUGGGAAAGAACACCAGUGGCGAAGGCGGCUCACUGGCUCGUAACUGACGCUCAUGCGCGACAGCGUGGGGAUCAAACAGG